AACACGUGAGUAACCUGCCCCUGACUCUGGGAUAAGCCUGGGAAACUGGGUCUAAUACUGGAUAUGCACCGUAGACCGCAUGGUUUUUGGUGGAAAGAAUUUUGGUCAGGGAUGGACUCGCGGCCUAUCAGCUUGUUGGUGAGGUAAUGGCUCACCAAGGCGACGACGGGUAGCCGGCCUGAGAGGGUGACCGGCCACACUGGGACUGAGACACGGCCCAGACUCCUACGGGAGGCAGCAGUGGGGAAUAUUGCACAAUGGGCGAAAGCCUGAUGCAGCGACGCCGCGUGAGGGAUGACGGCCUUCGGGUUGUAAACCUCUUUCAGUAGGGAAGAAGCGAAAGUGACGGUACCUGCAGAAGAAGCGCCGGCUAACUACGUGCCAGCAGCCGCGGUAAUACGUAGGGCGCAAGCGUUAUCCGGAAUUAUUGGGCGUAAAGAGCUCGUAGGCGGUUUGUCGCGUCUGCCGUGAAAGUCCGAGGCUCAACUUCGGAUCUGCGGUGGGUACGGGCAGACUAGAGUGAUGUAGGGGAGACUGGAAUUCCUGGUGUAGCGGUGAAAUGCGCAGAUAUCAGGAGGAACACCGAUGGCGAAGGCAGGUCUCUGGGCAUCUACUGACGCUGAGGAGCGAAAGCAUGGGGAGCGAACAGGAUUAGAUACCCUGGUAGUCCAUGCCGUAAACGUUGGGCACUA
rnacentral:rRNA from 1 species